rnacentral:rRNA from 1 species
GAUGAACGCUGGCGGCGUGCCUAAUACAUGCAAGUCGAGCGAACAGACGAGGAGCUUGCUCCUCUGACGUUAGCGGCGGACGGGUGAGUAACACGUGGAUAACCUACCUAUAAGACUGUGAUAACUUCGGGAAACCGGAGCUAAUACCGGAUAAUAUAUUGAACCGCAUGGUUCAAUAGUGAAAGACGGUUUUGCUGUCACUUAUAGAUGGAUCCGCGCCGCAUUAGCUAGUUGGUAAGGUAACGGCUUACCAAGGCGACGAUGCGUAGCCGACCUGAGAGGGUGAUCGGCCACACUGGAAGUGGGACACGGUCCAGACUCCUACGGGAGGCAGCAGUAGGGAAUCUUCCGCAAAGGGCGAAAGCCUGACGGAGCAACGCCGCGUGAGUGAUGAAGGUCUUCGGAUCGUAAAACUCUGUUAUUAGGGAAGAACAAAUGUGUAAGUAACUAUGCACGUCUUGACGGUACCUAGUCAGAAAGCCACGGCUAACUACGUG